UGAUCCUGGCUCAGAUUGAACGCUGGCGGCAGGCCUAACACAUGCAAGUCGAACGGUAACAUUUCUAGCUUGCUAGAAGAUGACGAGUGGCGGACGGGUGAGUAAUGCUUGGGAACUUGCCUUUGCGAGGGGGAUAACAGUUGGAAACGACUGCUAAUACCGCAUAAUGUCUUCGGACCAAACGGGGCUUAGGCUCCGGCGCAAAGAGAGGCCCAAGUGAGAUUAGCUAGUUGGUGAGGUAAAGGCUCACCAAGGCAACGAUCUCUAGCUGUUCUGAGAGGAAGAUCAGCCACACUGGGACUGAGACACGGCCCAGACUCCUACGGGAGGCAGCAGUGGGGAAUAUUGCACAAUGGGCGAAAGCCUGAUGCAGCCAUGCCGCGUGUGUGAAGAAGGCCUUCGGGUUGUAAAGCACUUUCAGUUGUGAGGAAAAGUUGGUAGUUAAUACCUGCCAGCCGUGACGUUAACAACAGAAGAAGCACCGGCUAACUCCGUGCCAGCAGCCGCGGUAAUACGGAGGGUGCGAGCGUUAAUCGGAAUUACUGGGCGUAAAGCGCACGCAGGCGGUUUGUUAAGCUAGAUGUGAAAGCCCCGAGCUCAACUUGGGAUGGUCAUUUAGAACUGGCAGACUAGAGUCUUGGAGAGGGGAGUGGAAUUCCAGGUGUAGCGGUGAAAUGCGUAGAUAUCUGGAGGAACAUCAGUGGCGAAGGCGACUCCCUGGCCAAAGACUGACGCUCAUGUGCGAAAGUGUGGGUAGCGAACAGGAUUAGAUACCCUGGUAGU
rnacentral:rRNA from 1 species